CCGACGGUGAGGGGCGAAAGCUGGGGGAGCAAACCGGACUAGAUACCCGGGUAGUCCCAGCUGUAAACGAUGCGCGUUAGGUGUGUCAGUGACCACGUGUCACUGAUGUGCCGAAGGGAAACCGUGAAACGCGCCGCCUGGGGAGUACGGUCGCAAGGCUGAAACUUAAAGGAAUUGGCGGGGGAGCACCACAACGGGUGGUGCCUGCGGUUUAAUCGGACUCAACGCCGGAAAUCUCACCGGAUAA
rnacentral:rRNA from 1 species